GACGAACGCUGGCGGCGUGCCUAAUACAUGCAAGUUGAGCGCUGAAGGUUGGUACUUGUACCAACUGGAUGAGCAGCGAACGGGUGAGUAACGCGUGGGGAAUCUGCCUUUGAGCGGGGGACAACAUUUGGAAACGAAUGCUAAUACCGCAUAAAAACUUUAAACACAAGUUUUAAGUUUGAAAGAUGCAAUUGCAUCACUCAAAGAUGAUCCCGCGUUGUAUUAGCUAGUUGGUGAGGUAAAGGCUCACCAAGGCGAUGAUACAUAGCCGACCUGAGAGGGUGAUCGGCCACAUUGGGACUGAGACACGGCCCAAACUCCUACGGGAGGCAGCAGUAGGGAAUCUUCGGCAAUGGACGAAAGUCUGACCGAGCAACGCCGCGUGAGUGAAGAAGGUUUUCGGAUCGUAAAACUCUGUUGGUAGAGAAGAGCGUUGGUGAGAGUGGAAAGCUCAUCAAGUGACGGUAACUACCCAGAAAGGGACGGCUAACUACGUG
rnacentral:rRNA from 1 species